UGGCUGUCAGUUCAGUGCGGAUCGUACGUUGGGUCGGUGGGGACGUUUUUCCCGCUCUUUUUAUCGAUUACCUCGCUUGUAAAUGACACAGUGUUAUUGUCCUGUUUUUUAACAAAAAACAUAACAAAUAGUGCUUUGUCACCGCUCUAACAUCGGGCUGAAGUUCGGGUAUUCUUGUGGAUUUUUGUGGAAUUAAAACGUCGUCGUGUUUGUGUUAAGGCUGUAUUUUUUUGGAUGUAAAUGUGGAUUCGAACAGCAAAUGAAGACACAAUGAUAACACGACAGACACCACGAUAGGAUACGAACGAACGAGCCUUAACCAGACUAAUAAUAACAUGUGUUCACUAAUUAAUAAAUAAACAAUAAAUUAAAUAAAAAAAACAAUUUAAUAAAUUAAAUUCUUAAUUUGCAACGCGCUAAAUAAACAAUUAAAUAAUUUGUAUAACGCGCUAAUAAACAAAAAAAUAAUUUAUUACGUCUAAAUUAUAAAAUAAAUUCAAAAUUUAGAACGCGUGAAUUCGAAAAACAAAACACUUCAUUUCAAAUUUAAAUUCCGCGCGAACAUUCAAACGGCGCGCGAGAGCCAUAGAGUUGGAAAGGGAUAGAUAGCUGCGUCCGAAAAUAGACGAUUCAAAAUAGAAAAAAAAUGGGUGGCCCAGAGUCAGUGGGCGAGAGUGCGGCGGGCGGACAGACCGCCCCGUGGUGGCGACAAACAUGGAAAACUAUGGCUGACCUCGCCGAAGCCGUCGACGACCUCAUCUGCAGCUUCGACUAUAUGGACACAGCCAUGGACAACCUAGUCAUGCUGAUCUUCAUAUGGAUUCUCUUCUCCAUCGUGCUGCUUGGCAUAGCCAAAUGGGCCUACUCCCGCUUCGGGAAGAAACCAGCGGAGGUGGAGAAGCCGAAAACGACGGAGGAAGCGAAGAAAUCCACCGCGAACGAAAUCAUUAACAGUGCUGAUACUGUGCUGGCUACGUCUGCUAAGGUCAAGAGUGCUUCGUUCAACUAUAAGCCGCCAGCGAAGCCCGCGGGUUACGUGCCCCCUUCUCCGGCGAAUAAGCGACGAAUGGGCCGCAUGUCUCCAGGUCCUGAACAGCUGACGACUAAGAAGCACCAGAGCAUAGUCAUCCCCACCUGCACCGGACCUGACGCCCCUAGUGUCCAGUGGGUUAACGAUCUAUUGACGUGGUUAUAUAAUGAUUUGGUUAUUGUGAAUGAGCUAGUGCAGCAAUGGAUUGUGUCCAUGAACGAGUUCGCCAAGAAAUCCGUCGAGGAGCAAGGUAUCGGCGUGGAGCUGGUGCGCGCGCUGGAUAGCCACCCGCCCAGCGUCACCAACGUGUUCUGCGAGUGUGACUCCAAGGAUGAUGUCACCAUCACAUGCGACUGUGAGGCGACGCCAGCCUUCCAGCUGAAAGCCUUCAGCCAGCGCGGGGAGAAGGUGGAGGUGUCACACUACCGGGUCAAUGUCAACAGAUUCCGUGCGCGCCUCCAUGUUAUCUGCAUCACGGAGAAGCUGACUGGCGAGCUGAAGUGCGACGGCUGGCCCGAAGUGAAGGUGGCUUUAGCUCCCGUCGGAGCCCUCAGACCCAACGCCCAGGAGAACAACCUGCAACAGGCCAUCAGCGAGAUAGUGGUGAACGCGCUCCGCAGCACGCACCUGGAGUUCAACUUGGCCGGGUACCCCACUUGCCCGCGCCUGCGCAGACACUUCGACACCAGCCCGCGGCUGCCGCUACACUAUGACUCCAUGCUGCAGCAUGACCGCGACCGCCAGAUGUACACAUCCACCCCCAACUCGAUGGCGAGCUCCGCCAUGCUGGGAGACAAGCGUUUGCUCGUCAAGGUGGUCAGCGCUAAGGAUAUUGGCGGUAAGACAGGCUGCAUCGCUCCGUACUGCGUCGUGGAGAUGGACGAGCCUCCCCAGAAGAACCAGACAGCCUUCAAGAAGGACACCACUUGCCCACAGUGGGAAGAACACUUCCUAUUCGACCUAUCCCCCCAAACGGCGGAGCUCCUGUUCGAGGUGUAUGACCGCACGGGGCCCCCCUCCCCGGGCGGGGGCACCGGCCAGCACAGGUUCCUGGGCCUCGGACUGGUGGGGAUAGAUGAGCUGCUAGCGGCCCCCUCGCAGCGGCAGCAGAUAGCGCUGCAGACGAGGCCUAUGGAGGAGCAUGAUGUCAGCGGCGUACUGACUGUUGAAUUCCUAUUCAUCGAGGGUGCGGACAUCCCGGACCUGGGUUCGAAGCCGCUCAAGAUCAAGGAGUCUCUCCGCACCAUGUCACCCCAGGGUCACCUCACCACCACCACCAAGACUAUCUUCAAACAAAACGGUCACGAUAGUUCCCAGCUGACGGAGUCUGCCCUCAGAGAGCUAGAGCUGUCGCCUACCAAUGCUGCCAAUAAAUCUACCCUCAUCAUACACUCUGUACAGCGGGAGCCUAGAAAAUCUAUCAAGGUGGAAAUGACCAACUCUGGGAAGUUCAUCGAGGUUGAACGUGAGAACGCUGACGGUGAGCAAGACAGUGCCAUACAUAAAAUAGAAGAAGAGAAAGAGACAGAUGAUAAGGAACCGGUACCAGCCAGUCCUAACCAGUCUCCCGGUAAAACUGUCAGAAUUAAGGAAAAUGGCGCGAAACCGAACGGUGACAGCGUCGGAGAGCAAGGAGACUAUGUAAACAAGCAACAGAACGAGGUACCACCCGAACCAGCGCCGCGACAAAAACGCCGGCGCGACUUCUUCGGCACUAUUAAGAGAAGACUGGGGCGCUCCCGCACCCGCGGGCAGUCGCUCGACCUGCCCGACAGCGAGGCCGAGAACCAGAGCCGCGUGCGCAGCAUCAGCGCCGAGAGAAAUAGUCAUGAAAAAGCCCUAUCCGUCCCCAAUAGAAACGUAUACUCCGCCGGCGCGUCCCCCGCGCAGUCCGGAGACGAAUCUAGGACUUCUAGAAGGUCCUCUCUCAGCGAGGUUUCAGGCUUCAGUACAGCGUCAGCUCGGACUUUUAUCCACGAGGCUUCGACCCUGGUGCUGGAGACCAUCGAGGCUGGGAUCAAGAAGCACUACCUGGUGCCUCUGACUGUCGCACAGCGCUCGCGGUGGCGACGGAAGGGCGUGAAGCUGCACAUUUAUAACGAGCAUACUUUUAUUGCUAAACAUCUUAGUGGCGGCACAGUCUGCGAGGUGUGCCAGAAGACGAUAGCGCGGCGGCUCGGCAAGCAGGGCUACGAGUGCCGCGACUGUCUGCUCAAGUGCCACAAACACUGCCACAUCCGGGUGCCUGGCAUCUGUCCACAAUCCAGCGUGCACAAUAUGGAGCUAUCCAUGCUCCCAGUGCUAAAUGAAUAAACAAGCUAAAAGAAGACUGCAAGAUGAAAUAUAAAAUAAUUAUCGAGAAAUUCCCAUUCAGGUUCAUAGAAACUUAAAAGAGUUACAUCUCAUCUCCGUACACUGACAAGAAUAUAAGAAUGUUGUGAUUUUUUCCAAACGUAAAAACGCUUACAAUGCACAAAGCAUCAUUACAAUUUUACCAUCUACUUAAAUUAUUUAAUAAAAUUAUAAAUACGCCACAAAUCUCUCUAAGUACAACACUUAUGUACGCUGUUAUACAUAACAUUGUAUAGGCUUUUUUACAAAUAUAUACAACAAUUAUUAAUUGUUAUUAAAACUAGUUUGUAAGAGAAAUGGUUCUAAAUUGUUGCUGUGCGAACUCGAAUAUACUUACCUUAUAUAGAUAUAUUAUAUAGAGCGAUAAGGCUUUAUUGGCAUGUGGUUAUAUUUGGAACUAACGCCGGAAUCUACAAAAACUAAUCUUUGACGGUUAUUAUAAAUCGAGUCACUGUGGUCCUGUGGUACGUCGGCUUGCUUCUCAAUCGGCGAGCGACGGUUCGAAUCCCAGUACCGGACUUGCACCAAUGAGUUAUUAAAGUGCAGUUGUCACUAACACAGUUGGCUCGACCAUUACAGACGGCGAUACGGCUCACCUAUCAUGGUCAAACAGAAAGCUCGAUGAGGUUACUUAGUUCAUCUUCCGACGGAUGAACGGUCACGAGUACUAAUAUUUAUACACUUUGCAACCAUGUCACAUUAACUUUUUUGACAAUUUCAACCGUAAGUCUCAUUAAAUGUCAAAUAUGAUAGUGUGACAGGGUUCUAAAGUGGGUACAUGAUAUUGCUCAUGACUGUACUACCACAAUUGAGAUUAUAGUCGUGAGCUUUAUGUAUGUUUUAAAAGGAGAUGCACACUAGCGCCCUCUAUGAACCUCCACGCGCCACAAAAUCCUUGUCGAUCUUUAAAAUACUUACCGCUUUGUCACACCGAUAGAUUGGCAUUAAAAUAUUAGAAUUAGUUUAGAUGUCGCUAGAAACACCCUACAAGCAAUUAUACCUGAAUAAUUUAAAACUUUUGGCGCCUUAUUGCAAAACGAAGACUAAAUAUAACAGCAGGUUUCAAAUACAGUCCGCGCCACGAAAGAAUUCCGCGAAUUUUGAUGGGACUAUAAUUGUCAAGUUAUAAUAAUUCUAUGGAGAAUAAUGCGACAGUAGCGCCGCGCCUAUUUUCGCGGAGCGGACUAUAUUUUAAAGCUAGAAUAGCAGUUUCCAACUAGUCAAAUCAGUCACCUUUCACUAAACGUCAAGACACGAAAUUACUAUUGAAUUUGUUAACCUGUGACGUCAUAGAAAAACGUGACAAAAUGUCACACUUAUAAUUACAUUUUUCUUUAUUAAAAUUCAUAAAUAAGUUUAAUAGAAAAAAGAAAACCUUUUUUGACACCUUUACAUCUGUCUUUAGUCAUGAGAAUAUCGUAAUUUAUCUUUGACCUAGGAAUCUUCACAAUUAUCUUCGGAAGGCCAGUUGGUCCCGGUUACUACUUACUGAUGUAAGUAUGUAGUCGUUGCGUAAUCUUUAGUACUCGUUUUGUAAUUAGGCGGCAUAUAUUUACAAAAUCAUUUCAAGUCCGUGACGUUAGCCAAAGCGAAGAAAUAAUGAGGAUUACUUCAGAAAGACUACCUCAUUUCUUAAAAUUACGACAAUAUAUACAAUUUUAAAUGAAUUAUAGUUACCAAUGACCAUUGAAUUGUUUUAAUACUUAAAUUAUUUCUACAAAAUGGAAUUGUCAAUCUCUAAAAUACGAUAAUUAAGUUAUGUUGUGCUUCUCUGCACGAAAUGUGAUCUUGGGUAUAUGUUAUGUGCAAUAAUUUUACUAUACUUUUAAUAUAUUAAAAAUACCACUGCGCUUAAGCUUUGAAACUUUAUCUAAUUAAGAUCUUGAGAUAGGUAUUUGGCCAUAAUUACAAUGACCACCAAUGUAGUUUUUGACCUGAUUAGUUUCUUAUAUGUAAGAGUGAGCGAUGAUUUCGAUUAGAGUGGUUGUUUUCAAAGAUAUUUGCUACUAUUUACUAAAUGUAUACAACUUAUCAAGAACCUCCCAAAUAAAUGGUAAAUCUAGAAAACUUGGCAAUACUUAAAACGGCCUAGAAAAUAGGUUUUAUACAUUGAUACUUUAAAAAUACGUUCUUUAAAAUAUAGAAUUAAAAUUAGUUUAUUUUUCGCGCCCAAUGUGUAACACCUGAGCGCACAGCAGUGUAAACGCCAAGUUGAAAAUAAAUGACCAAAUAAAAAAUUGGGUGAGGUAUUAAAUAAUUUAAAAAGUUACUGUCAAGUGGAUGAGGUACAUAAAAUAAUACACAUGACAAUGUAUUUAUACUCUUUUGUAUACUAAGAUUGUUAAAGCAUAAUGUUUUGUGAUUAUGUCCGAUAAAAUUAUUAUUUAUUAUAUAAAUGUUGCGCAAGUGUUUUUCUGUAAUUUUAUUUUUCUCUUUUUAAUAAAAUGCCUUUUUUAAA
rnacentral:misc_RNA from 1 species